rnacentral:tRNA from 1 species
GGAAUAUAGCUCAGUUGGUAGAGCGCUUAGUUAGCAUACACAAGGCCCUGGGUUCAAUCCCCAGCACCA